UGGGGAAUAUUGCACAAUGGGCGCAAGCCUGAUGCAGCCAUGCCGCGUGUAUGAAGAAGGCCUUCGGGUUGUAAAGUACUUUCAGCGGGGAGGAAGGGAUUAAGGUUAAUAACCUUGCCUAUUGACGUUACCCGCAGAAGAAGCACCGGCUAACUCCGUGCCAGCAGCCGCGGUAAUACGGAGGGUGCAAGCGUUAAUCGGAAUUACUGGGCGUAAAGCGCACGCAGGCGGUUUGUUGAGUCAGAUGUGAAAUCCCCGGGCUUAACCUGGGAACUGCAUCUGAUACUGGCAAGCUUGAGUCUCGUAGAGGGGGGUAGAAUUCCAGGUGUAGCGGUGAAAUGCGUAGAGAUGUGGAGGAAUACCGGUGGCGAAGGCGGCCCCCUGGACAAAGACUGACGCUCAGGUGCGAAAGCGUGGGGAGCAAACAGG
rnacentral:rRNA from 1 species